UGCCAGACUCCUACGGGAGGCAGCAGUGGGGGAUAUUGCACAAUGGGGGGAACCCUGAUGCAGCGACGCCGCGUGGGUGAAGAAGCGCCUCGGCGCGUAAAGCCCUAUCAGCAGGGAAGAAAAUGACGGUACCUGACUAAGAAGCCCCGGCUAACUACGUGCCAGCAGCCGCGGUAAUACGUAGGGGGCAAGCGUUAUCCGGAUUUACUGGGUGUAAAGGGAGCGUAGACGGCGAUGCAAGUCUGAAGUGAAAGGCGGGGGCCCAACCUCCGGACUGCUUUGGAAACUGUAUGGCUGGAGUGCAGGAGAGGUAAGCGGAAUUCCUAGUGUAGCGGUGAAAUGCGUAGAUAUUAGGAGGAACACCGGUGGCGAAGGCGGCUUACUGGACAGUAACUGACACUGAGGCUCGAAAGCGUGGGGAGCAAACAGGAUUAGAUACCCUGGUAUA
rnacentral:rRNA from 1 species